rnacentral:lncRNA from 1 species
UGAAUGUCUGUCUGUAGUCUACCUUACCUAGGUGUAGUGGUGAAUGUCUGUAGUCUACCUUACCUAGGUGUAGUGGUGAAUGUCUGUAGUCUACCUUACCUAGGUGUAGUGGUGAAUGUCUGUAGUCUACCUUACCUAGGUGUAGUGGUGAAUGUCUGUAGUCUACCUUACCUAGGUGUAGUGGUGAAUGUCUGUAGUCUACCUUACCUAGGUGUAGAGGUGAAUGUCUGUAGUCUACCUUACCUAGGUGUAGUGAUGAAUGUCUGUAGUCUACCUUACCUAGGUGUAGUGGUGAAUGUCUGUCUGUAGUCUACCUUACCUAGGUGUAGUGAUGAAUGUCUGUAGUCUACCUUACCUAGGUGUAGUGGUGAAUGUCUGUCUGUAGUCUACCUUACCUAGGUGUAGUGGUGAAUGUCUGUCUGUAGUCUACCUUACCUAGGUGUAGUGGUGAAUGUCUGUAGUCUACCUUACCUAGGUGUAGAGGUGAAUGUCUGUCUGUAGUCUACCUUACCUAGGUGUAGUGGUGAAUGUCUAUCUGUAGUCUACCUUACCUAGGUGUAGUGGUGAAUGUCUAUCUGUAGUCUACCUUACCUAGGUGUAGUGGUGAAUGUCUGUCUGUAGUCUACCUUACCUAGGUGUAGUGGUGAAUGUCUGUCUGUAGUCUACCUUACCUAGGUGUAGUGGUGAAUGUCUGUAGUCUACCUUACCUAGGUGUAGUGGUGAAUGUCUGUAGUCUACCUUACCUAGGUGUAGUGGUGAAUGUCUGUAGUCUACCUUACCUAGGUGUAGAGGUGAAUGUCUGUAGUCUACCUUACCUAGGUGUAGUGAUGAAUGUCUGUAGUCUACCUUACCUAGGUGUAGUGGUGAAUGUCUGUCUGUAGUCUACCUUACCUAGGUGUAGUGAUGAAUGUCUGUAGUCUACCUUACCUAGGUGUAGUGGUGAAUGUCUGUCUGUAGUCUACCUUACCUAGGUGUAGUGGUGAAUGUCUGUAGUCUACCUUACCUAGGUGUAGUGGUGAAUGUCUGUAGUCUACCUUACCUAGGUGUAGUGGUGAAUGUCUGUAGUCUACCUUACCUAGGUGUAGAGGUGAAUGUCUGUCUGUAGUCUACCUUACCUAGGUGUAGUGGUGAAUGUCUGUCUGUAGUCUACCUUACCUAGGUGUAGUGGUAAAUGUCUAUCUGUAGUCUACCUUACCUCGGUGUAGUGGUGAAUGUCUGUCUGUAGUCUACCUUACCUAGGUGUAGUGGUGAAUGUCUGUAGUCUACCUUACCUAGGUGUAGUGGUGAAUGUCUGUAGUCUACCUUACCUAGGUGUAGUGGUGAAUGUCUGUAGUCUACCUUACCUAGGUGUAGAGGUGAAUGUCUGUCUGUAGUCUACCUUACCUAGGUGUAGUGGUGAAUGUCUGUCUGUAGUCUACCUUACCUAGGUGUAGUGGUGAAUGUCUGUAGUCUACCUUACCUAGGUGUAGUGGUGAAUGUCUGUAGUCUACCUUACCUAGGUGUAGUGGUGAAUGUCUGUAGUCUACCUUACCACUCAGAACAAGAGGAUUAUGGAGAUUCCUGGUCUGCAUAGCCAGCUACGGGCUAACCAGGCUAUAGAGGGAGACCCUGCCCCAAAAAACUAAGCAAAGAGAAGCAAAGGAGGACCUCUAAGCAGACUGCAGUGGGAAAACGCAGAAGACUGCAUGUGCUGCUCCCUCAGGCCAGUCUGACUUAAAUGUGGUUUGUAGCUCACUUGAAACCAUUGCUAACCCGUUAUAAAGUAGUGCAGAGCAGAGCCGGCUGCAGGGGGAGUGUAUGCUUAGUGUAGAUGCUGCUCUGGGUUUGAUGUCCAGCACCACCCCCCGCCCACCCCCAGAAAAAGUAGUACUGAUUGACUAAUGUAGUUAAAGGUAGUACUGACUGACUAAUGUAGUUAAAGGUAGUACUGAUUGACUAAUGUAGUUAAUGCAGUUAACCAAACCCUUAAGCUAAAGGAUUCCAUCAUUGCGGAGUUUGACACCUGUAGAACCAAUGCACAGUUAGCAGCCUGUCUCUGAGGCUGCAAAUCAGAAUUUUGCUUUUAAUUUUCAUGUAGACCCUGGUCUGCCUAGCACUCUGGGAACCCAGAAAAUGGCCCUCUUCACUGUCCUCUAACUGCACAUCUUGCAGACAUGCUCCAAGUGUCUCAGUUCUCACAGGGCCCAUCUGUCCCCCUGGACACAGAGGUUGUGGAACCGGGCGUGGUGGAGCACGAUUUAAUCAUAGCACUUGGGAGGCAGAGGCAGGCCUGAGUUCGAGGCCAGCCUGGUCUACAGAGUGAGUUCCAGGACAGCCAGAGCUACACAGAGAAACCCUGUCUCAGAAAAACAAAAGGUUGUAGGACCUGUGCCAUGCAGUGGCUCCAGGCUGUAAUUAAAUCUUGCAUUGUAAGGAAACUACAGACUGCUAGGAAGAGGCUUUUAGCCAUUUAGGUGUUUUGUUGUUGUUUUGUUUUAAAGCUAACAUCGAUCAGUGCUCUGUGGCUGGAAUUUCAAAUCCACUUAAUGCAAUUAGAAUCCACAAACUCUCAGGUUACACAGAAUCAGGGAGAAUGAAGCAGGAGGUUUGGCAGUGUCUUUUUUUCCUGCUAAUUAAUAGUGGUCCUGGGCAGGCUGAAGUAACUUCCUCCUUUAUUGACAGGCUAUCCUGUUCGAUAACACUAGAGGUUUAUAGUGCUGGGUCUGGUGCUGCAGGCUGAUAAUUGCCCUACUCCCGAGGUUAUAUCAGAGGACCUCAAGUUCAAGGCCUUGCUUGGACAAUUUAGUGAGACCCAGUCUAAAAAAAAUUAUGUGGCA